rnacentral:rRNA from 1 species
GCCAGACUCCUACGGGAGGCAGCAGUGGGGAAUAUUGCACAAUGGGGGAAACCCUGAUGCAGCGACGCCGCGUGAGUGAAGAAGUAUUUCGGUAUGUAAAGCUCUAUCAGCAGGGAAGAAGUUGACGGUACCUGAGUAAGAAGCCCCGGCUAACUACGUGCCAGCAGCCGCGGUAAUACGUAGGGGGCAAGCGUUAUCCGGAUUUAUUGGGUUUAAAGGGUGCGUAGGCGGAAUGCCAAGUCAGCGGUAAAACCGGGGGGCUCAACCCCGCUCCGCCGUUGAAACUGGCAGUCUCGAGUUGGAGAGAAGUAUGCGGAAUGCGCGGUGUAGCGGUGAAAUGCAUAGAUAUCGCGCAGAACUCCGAUUGCGAAGGCAGCAUGCCGGCUCCACACUGACGCUGAGGCACGAAAGCGUGGGUAUCGAACAGGAUUAGAUACCCGGGUA